AACGAACGCUGGCGGCGCGUUUUAAGCAUGCAAGUCGGACGGCAAGCACUGUAGCAAUAUGGUGCCUAGAGUGGCGAACGGGUGAGUAACACGUAGGUGAUCUGCCUCUGGAUGGGGAUAGUCCGUGGAAACGACGGGGUAAUACCGCAUAAGGCCCUGGGCGUAGAGGCCGUGGGGUGGAAAGGUGCAAUUGCACCGUCUGGGAUGAGCCUGCGGUCCAUUAGGUAGUUGGCGGGGUAAGAGCCCACCAAGCCGACGAUGGA
rnacentral:rRNA from 1 species